GUUUAGUGCUUUUAAAUUCAGGACUUCUCAUAGAUGUGCAUGCAUCAAUCACUGCCUACUCUUGCUUCUUAAUAAAUGCACUGUUUCAAAGUGAUGUGAAAUCUUGGGAAAUGUCAUUGGGAGGAAGUACAUCCUGUGUCAGGAUCAAACAUCAAGGCUUGGUUGCAGUAGAAAAUCACUGAUCCUAUAGUCUGGCCUCAAGUACAUGGGUACAGAGCACAAGAUCCAAGGGCCAUUUUUAAAGUUUUGUUAUUGAACUGGAAUGCAGCCAGAGUAACUGCCAUGCGAGCAAGCCCUCUACUUUUUAAGGAGACCGAAUCACACAUACUUUGUGAUGGAUGCUGUGAUGCACCACCUGGGUGGCCCUUCCAUAAAGAUUCGUCUCAGCUGCUAGACCUAGCACCUUCAUGGACCACACUCUGGUGAGAAGAGCAUCCUUAUCCAAGGUCAUCUACCUCCUGUGGAAGUCUACAUC
rnacentral:lncRNA from 12 species